UACGUAGGGGGCAAGCGUUGUCCGGAAUCACUGGGCGUAAAGCGCGCGCAGGCGGUCAUCUACGUCUGGGGUGAAAGCCCGGAGCUCAACUCCGGGAUUGCCUUGGAUACGGGAUGACUUGAGGAUCGGAGAGGCAAGGGGAAUUCCACGUGUAGCGGUGAAAUGCGUAGAGAUGUGGAGGAACACCUGUGGCGAAAGCGGCUCACUGGACCAUAACUGACGCUGAUGCACGAAAGCUAGGGGAGCAAACAGG
rnacentral:rRNA from 1 species